UACAGAGGGUGCAAGCGUUAAUCGGAAUUACUGGGCGUAAAGGGCGCGUAGGUGGUUAUUUAAGUCAGAUGUGAAAUCCCUGGGCUUAACCUAGGAAUUGCAUUUGAAACUAGAUGGCUAGAGUAUGGUAGAGGGAAGUGGAAUUUCCGGUGUAGCGGUGAAAUGCGUAGAUAUCGGAAGGAACACCAGUGGCGAAGGCGGCUCACUGGACCACAACUGACGCUGAGGCGCGAAAGCUAGGGGAGCAAACAGG
rnacentral:rRNA from 1 species